rnacentral:SRP_RNA from 1 species
GCCCGGGUGAGUCCUGCACGACUUGCUCCCCGUGAAAUCCCCCAGGUCUUGACCGAAGCAAGGGUAGCGGGUUGAGCGGUGCGAUGCAGGUAGCUCGCCCACC